rnacentral:rRNA from 1 species
CACGUAGGGUGCGAGCGUUGUCCGGAAUUAUUGGGCGUAAAGAGCUCGUAGGCGGUGUGUCGCGUCGGCCGUGAAAACCUGCAGCUUAACUGUGGGCUUGCGGUCGAUACGGGCACCACUGGAGUUCGGCAGGGGAGACUGGAAUUCCUGGUGUAGCGGUGAAAUGCGCAGAUAUCAGGAAGAACACCCGUGGCGAAGGCGGCUCUCUGGGACGGUACUGACGCUGAGACGCGAAAGCGUGGGGAGCGAACAGG